UACGUAGGGUGCGAGCGUUAAUCGGAAUUACUGGGCGUAAAGCGUGCGCAGGCGGCUUUCUAAGUCAGAUGUGAAAUCCCCGGGCUUAACCUGGGAACUGCAUUUGUGACUGCAUGGCUGGAGUGCGGCAGAGGGGGAUGGAAUUCCGCGUGUAGCAGUGAAAUGCGUAGAUAUGCGGAGGAACACCGAUGGCGAAGGCAAUCCCCUGGGCCUGCACUGACGCUCAUGCACGAAAGCGUGGGGAGCAAACAGG
rnacentral:rRNA from 1 species